rnacentral:rRNA from 1 species
GACGAACGCUGGCGGCGUGCUUAACACAUGCAAGUCGAACGGUAAGGCCCUUCGGGGUACACGAGUGGCGAACGGGUGAGUAACACGUGGGUGAUCUGCCCUGCACUUCGGGAUAAGCCUGGGAAUCUGGGUCUAAUACCGGAUAGGACCACUGCCUGCAUGGGUGGUGGUGGGAAGCUUUUGCGGUGUGGGAUGGGCCCGCGGCCUAUCAGCUUGUUGGUGGGGUGAUGGCCUACCAAGGCGACGACGGGUAGCCGGCCUGAGAGGGUGACCGGCCACACUGGGACUGAGAUACGGCCCAGACUCCUACGGGAGGCAGCAGUGGGGAAUAUUGCACAAUGGGCGCAAGCCUGAUGCAGCGACGCCGCGUGAGGGAUGACGGCCUUCGGGUUGUAAACCUCUUUCAGCACCGACGAAGCGCAAGUGACGGUAGGUGCAGAAGAAGGACCGGCCAACUACGUGCCAGCAGCCGCAGUAA